GGGUUGUGAGGUUAAGCGACUAAGCGUACACGGUGGAUGCCCUGGCAGUCAGAGGCGAUGAAGGACGUGCUAAUCUGCGAUAAGCGUCGGUAAGGUGAUAUGAACCGUUAUAACCGGCGAUUUCCGAAUGGGGAAACCCAGUGUGUUUCGACACACUAUCAUUAACUGAAUCCAUAGGUUAAUGAGGCGAACCGGGGGAACUGAAACAUCUAAGUACCCCGAGGAAAAGAAAUCAACCGAGAUUCCCCCAGUAGCGGCGAGCGAACGGGGAGGAGCCCAGAGCCUGAAUCAGUGUGUGUGUUAGUGGAAGCGUCUGGAAAGGCGCGCGAUACAGGGUGACAGCCCCGUACACAA
rnacentral:rRNA from 1 species